CAAAGUUAUUUUCAAGGCUUUAGCCUUGAGGGGUCCAACCAUAACAAAGUGAGAAGAGAAAGGGAGAAAGAAAGAAAGGAAAAAGGGAGGAAAAAAAGAAAAAAGAAAGGAAGGAUCGGCUUAGUGAACCCGAGACAAGGAAGCAAGAAUCUACAAGGAUUCAAGGGACCCAAGGCAUGCAUGUAGGUAGAUCUUGGUAAGCAUGGUGAUUUUGUAGCUAAAUAAGCAAUGGCAAAGGUGACCUUAGAUGUGAGGAAGUUGUGAAUCAUUUUUGGAAAUUCAAGUUUAAACCGAGAGGGAGAAAAUAAGUUAAAAAAGUUUGCUGUGGUGGCGUGUCGGAGGAGGCAACAAGAGAUCAACAAGUAGAAAUUAGCUAGAUACGCACUUCAAUUAAUAGUGACGUAGCGUCCUGCUAUUGUGAGAUAAGUAAUCGAUUCAAGUGCAUUGCUCAACACAUAGAGACUAGUUGCAACGUAAGUAAUGGCAUCUCUUAGACUUCCACUUAGAGUCGCUUUGCUACCUAGAGAUCGUGUUGUGUCAAAUAGUUAGACUUAUAAUGAUUAAUAGCUUAUUAGAAAUGUAUUUGCUAAAACUUGAUGUUGUGUAAUGAUUAGCACUUAUUAUAUUGAAAUUACU